GGUUAAGUGACUAAGCGUACACGGUGGAUGCCUUGGCAGUCAGAGGCGAUGAAAGACGUAGUAACUUGCGAUAAGCCCAGAUUAGGUAGUAACAACCAUUUGAGUCUGGGAUUUCUGAAUGGGGAAACCCACGUGCAUAAGCACGUAUCCUUACCUGAAUACAUAGGGUAAGGAGGCGAACCGGGGGAACUGAAACAUCUAAGUACCCCGAGGAAAAGAAAUCAACCGAGAUUCCGAAAGUAGCGGCGAGCGAAAUUGGACUAGCCCUUAAGCUUUACACACGUUAGACGAACGGUCUGGAAAGUCCGACGAUACAGGGUGAUAGUCCCGUAGUUGACGACGUGUGUUCAGUGAAAUCGAGUAGGGCGGGACACGUGAUAUCCUGUCUGAAUAUGGGGGGACCAUCCUCCAAGGCUAAAUACUACUGACUGACCGAUAGUGAACCAGUACCGUGAGGGAAAGGCGAAAAGAACCCUGUGAGGGGAGUGAAAUAGAACCUGAAACCGUGUACGUACAAGCAGUAGGAGCAGGCUUUGUCCUGUGACUGCGUACCUUUUGUAUAAUGGGUCAGCGACUUAUAUUCAGUGGCAAGGUUAACCAUCUAGGGGAGCCGUAGGGAAACCGAGUCUUAACUGGGCGUUCAGUCUCUGGAUAUAGACCCGAAACCAGGUGAUCUAGCCAUGGGCAGGUUGAAGGUUGAGUAACAUCAACUGGAGGACCGAACCGACUAAUGUUGAAAAAUUAGCGGAUGACUUGUGGCUAGGGGUGAAAGGCCAAUCAAACCUGGAGAUAGCUGGUUCUCCCCGAAAGCUAUUUAGGUAGCGCCUCGGACGAAUACUACUGGGGGUAGAGCACUGUUAAGGCUAGGGGGUCAUCCCGACUUACCAACCCUUUGCAAACUCCGAAUACCAGUAAGUACUAUCCGGGAGACACACGGCGGGUGCUAACGUCCGUCGUGGAGAGGGAAACAACCCAGACCGCCAGCUAAGGUCCCAAAUUACUACUAAGUGGGAAACGAUGUGGGAAGGCUCAGACAGCCAGGAUGUUGGCUUAGAAGCAGCCAUCAUUUAAAGAAAGCGUAAUAGCUCACUGGUCGAGUCGGCCUGCGCGGAAGAUGUAACGGGGCUAAGUAGUAAACCGAAGCUGCGGCAAUGUGCUUUUGCACAUUGGGUAGGGGAGCGUUCUGUAAGCGGUUGAAGGUGUGUGGUAACGCAUGCUGGACGUAUCAGAAGUGCGAAUGCUGACAUGAGUAACGAUAAAGGGGGUGAAAAACCUCCUCGCCGGAAGACCAAGGGUUCCUGUCCAACGUUAAUCGGGGCAGGGUAAGUCGACCCCUAAGGCGAGGCCGAAAGGCGUAGUCGAUGGGAAACGGGUUAAUAUUCCCGUACUUCUUACAAUUGCGAUGGGGGGACGGAGAAGGCUAGGUGGGCCUGGCGACGGUUGUCCAGGUUCAAGUGCGUAGGCUUAAGAGUUAGGUAAAUCCGGCUCUUUUUAAGGCUGAGACACGACGUCGAGCACCUACGGGUGUGAAGUCAUUGAUGCCAUGCUUCCAGGAAAAGCCUCUAAGCUUCAGAUUGUAAGGAAUCGUACCCCAAACCGACACAGGUGGUCGGGUAGAGAAUACCAAGGCGCUUGAGAGAACUCGGGUGAAGGAACUAGGCAAAAUGGUACCGUAACUUCGGGAGAAGGUACGCUCUUGAUGGUGAAGUCCCUCGCGGAUGGAGCUGACGAGAGUCGCAGAUACCAGGUGGCUGCAACUGUUUAUUAAAAACACAGCACUGUGCAAAAUCGUAAGAUGACGUAUACGGUGUGACGCCUGCCCGGUGCCGGAAGGUUAAUUGAUGGGGUUAGACUUCGGUCGAAGCUCUUGAUCGAAGCCCCGGUAAACGGCGGCCGUAACUAUAACGGUCCUAAGGUAGCGAAAUUCCUUGUCGGGUAAGUUCCGACCUGCACGAAUGGCGUAAUGAUGGCCACGCUGUCUCCACCCGAGACUCAGUGAAAUUGAAAUCGCUGUGAAGAUGCAGUGUACCCGCGGCUAGACGGAAAGACCCCGUGAACCUUUACUACAGCUUGGCACUGAACAUUGACCCUACAUGUGUAGGAUAGGUGGGAGGCUUUGAAGCACGUACGCCAGUAUGUGUGGAGCCGUCCUUGAAAUACCACCCUUGUAGUGUUGAUGUUCUAACGUCGACCCCUUAUCGGGGUUGCGGACAGUGCCUGGUGGGUAGUUUGACUGGGGCGGUCUCCUCCCAAAGAGUAACGGAGGAGCACGAAGGUGGGCUAAUCACGGUUGGACAUCGUGAGGUUAGUGCAAUGGCAUAAGCCCGCUUGACUGCGAGAAUGACAAUUCGAGCAGGUGCGAAAGCAGGUCAUAGUGAUCCGGUGGUUCUGAAUGGAAGGGCCAUCGCUCAACGGAUAAAAGGUACUCCGGGGAUAACAGGCUGAUACCGCCCAAGAGUUCAUAUCGACGGCGGUGUUUGGCACCUCGAUGUCGGCUCAUCACAUCCUGGGGCUGAAGUCGGUCCCAAGGGUAUGGCUGUUCGCCAUUUAAAGUGGUACGCGAGCUGGGUUUAGAACGUCGUGAGACAGUUCGGUCCCUAUCUGCCGUGGGCGUUGGAAGAUUGAAGGGGGCUGCUCCUAGUACGAGAGGACCGGAGUGGACGAACCUCUGGUGUUCGGGUUGUGUCGCCAGACGCAUUGCCCGGUAGCUAAGUUCGGAAUCGAUAACCGCUGAAAGCAUCUAAGCGGGAAGCGAGCCCUGAGAUGAGUCUUCCCUGAUACUUUAAGUAUCCUAAAGGGUUGUCGGAGACUACGACGUUGAUAGGUCAGGUGUGUAAGUGCUGUGAGGCAUUGAGCUAACUGAUACUAAUUGCCCGUGAGGCUUAACCAU
rnacentral:rRNA from 1 species